GGACUACAGGGGUAUCUAAUCCUGUUUGCUCCCCACGCUUUCGUGCCUCAGCGUCGGAUACGUCCCAGUCGCCCGCCUUCGCAUCCGGUGUUCCGCAUGAUAUCAACGCAUUUUACCGCUACACCAUGCAUUCCGGCGACCUCUCCCGUCCCCUAGCCCCGCAGUUCCGGCCGCACUUCCGGGGGUGAGCCCCGGGAUUUCACGGUCGGCAUACGAAGCAGCCUACGCACGCUUUACGCCCAGUAAAUCCGAACAACGCUCGGGACCUCUGUAUUACCGCGGCUGCUGGCAC
rnacentral:rRNA from 1 species